UGGUCGUUUUUGUCCGGUUGUUUAUUUCUUGCGCCGGAAAUUCGCAAGCUCGUCGCGUAUUUUUCUACGACUUUUCUUCACGGUAAUUUACCGGAUUCGGUUUCGGGACUCCCGGUGUUGUGAUGCCCACUGUCGGUCCGUUCCGAGCAGGGCUUAUUCAGCUGCGGCAGCAUGAUACAACACCGGGAAUUGGAUUUUCUGCCCAACAUAGAACCGCUGAAACUCGUGCGCUUUUCAGCACCUGAACUUCAUCUCCAACAGACAGCAGUUUUCGUACAGCAGCAACGGGGCCCUCGGAAUGAUAAGGUUUUUUUCAGGGUCCUGGUCCGCCGGCUAAAUCGUUCACCAGGCUUCCGGUGGCUUCCCUGCAUUCCGUAGCGCUGGAGCUACGGAAAAUUUUGCAGUACAGCUUAGCUUUUCAAAGUUGUGUAAGUACCCAAUAAAAUUUCAAUGAAGAUGAGUUUAAA